rnacentral:lncRNA from 1 species
UUUAAUUUAGGUAUAAUAGCCAUUCAAAGUGUGUUAUUAACUUAUUACAUAAGUAUAUGCGGUUAUUAAAAUACUUUGCAAUAAUUUAAAUAAGAGACUAAACUAAAAACAAACACUUGAACCCUAGAGUUUGGCUAAAACCAAACUGCAUAUAUGGGCAAGUAGUAACUUUUAUUUCAUUAAUUAUUUCCAUGCACAAAAUAUAAAACAAACCCUAAUGGAAUUUGUUUCAUCACAUGCAUGGUAUACUAACAUAGUUAGUUACAUUUUUUAUAACAGAAAUCAGUGAUAUCAGUGCAACUACACUUUGGUGGAAGAGACCUUGUGCAAAGGCAAGCUUUGCAAGCUGAGUGACAUGUUUCUCCAAUAUCAUUACAUUGACACUGAGGAGGGAUUGAUCUUGUGCAAAGGCAGGAAUCACAGCAUGCUUUGUUACUUGCAUCACCAUUGGAGAGCAGUUGAGUGAUGAAGGAAGUUGAACCGAAACGAGCAUCAACAACAGUUGCGGUGAAGCCCAAGAGGAAAAGCAUCAAAGCUAACUUCAUCAUUGCCUUCUUGUUCAUCAACACCAUUAUUACUAUUCUCUUUUUCUAUUAUGAUUCGUUUUUGUGUAUCUUUCUUUGCAGCUACAUAGGUCUAUUUAUAUAGAGUUUUUUUUUCUUUUCAUUAUUUCAUGUUUUUUCCUUCUAAGAAAUGCACUACUCAACGCGUGAUCCUCGUGUUGUACAUAGGAGUACUUAAUUUCUUUGUGAUGUUUUGUCGGUUUCCAUUUCCUUUCUUUUUUACUUUGAAAAUGAAAUUAUUAUGAUUUGACGUGAAGCCAAAUGGGUGUGAAAUUUUUGUUUUUGUUUCAAAAAGUGAUACAACUUCUCUAUUAAGUGUUGUCUGUCUAUACAUUAAUCACCAAACUUGGAAAUAUUUAUUGGCUCUCUGUCAAGUGGGGAAAGCAUUUGCUCACAUGAAAUUUUAUCUCCUCUCAUGUGAUUGAUCCAGACUCUCUUACAUUUAAAAUUAAAAUAUUUCAUAUUUUAUUUUUUAAAGGCUUUUAUUUCAAGUCAUCCUUCAUAAAAAUUCAAAUGAAAUUAAUUAAAUGAAACUAAUAUAGUUUAAAAAUAUAUUUGUAAUUCUAAAUAUAUUUGUAAAAUUUUAAUCUUUAUAAAUAUAUGUCAUCUUACUUAGGAUUUUUGCUUUUUUGUGUUAAUCCUUUUGCAAAAUGUUAUAUUAAAAUUAAUCUAUCUAUGUAUAAUAUAUUUUAUUUUAGUUUUUUCAAUAUUAAUAAUAUAAAUAUUAAAAUAAAUUGACUUGUGAAAACUUUUCAAAAAUGAGUUGAUGGCUUCCAACAAUUAUACUCUUUUUAUUCAAACCAUUGCACUAAUAAACAAAAUUUGUGCUUUAGUUAUAGUAAAUUUAAUUAUUAUUAUUAAGAGUGUUAUGUAUGGGAAUGAGAAUACAAAAACACUCUAAGUUAAGUUUAAAAAUUACAGCUUUGUUACUUAAGCCUAACACUUUUUCCAGCUUUGUUACUUAACCCUAACACUUUUUCCACUUUCUCUUUCUCUCCAUUCUCAUUUUAGAAAUUGAAUUUUCUUUUCUCUUUUGCUAUUGCUCUCUCCACCACCACUCCUCACUGCAGUCGCACACCAUUGUCAAUUCAUUUCAUUUGUCCUCACCCAUUGUUGUUGUGUAAUGUGAGCUUUUUGUUCUCAUUUUUUUUUAUGUUGAACAAUUUAAGUUUUCUGUCAUUUAUUAUUUGAGCAAUGUGUUAACGUGACUUUUCAGUUUUCUAUCCCAUUAACUUUGAGGAAUGGUAAUGAUGUUGAGCAUUGUUGCGCAAUGUUUGACAAUGUUGUUAAAGUAUAUAUUUUACUCUUUUUUGGUAAUUUUGAGCAAUGUUAAAGUGUAUUUUUUUUAAUAUUAAGUGAAAUUUUGGUAUCAGAUAUGAGACGUCGAAGGUAAUGUCACGACACUAAUAUCUGAAUCAUACAAACAGGAUAAAGAUAAAGAAUAGUAAUGCUAGAGACACAAGCAAUUGCUAACUCAGUUCGGUGCAACUCACCUACGUCCGGGGAAUACCAAGUCAGGAAGGAAAUCCACUAAAUAGAAUCAGUUCAAAGACUCUCAGUAAACUACACAAGUUACAGUCUUUUUCACCUAAUCUCUACCCGUAUGACUUCUACCUAAGAACUCUUAGAUAUGAGAUCCCAAAUCCACUAAAUAGAAUCAGUUCAAAGACUCUCAGUAAACUACACAAGUUACAGUCUUUUUCACCUAAUCUCUACCCGUAUGACUUCUACCUAAGAACUCUUAGAUAUGAGAUCCCAUCUCACUCCCCUUCAAUCACACCAGUGAUAUUAAACAAGAAUUACUUAUGAAAAGAAGACACUCUUCAAAGACACACACUUGAUCUUACUUAGCAGCUUCAAUCAAGUAGACACACACUCAUGCUUAAAAACUUAGAGUGACAAAUUGCAACUCAAAAAAUCAGAUCAAUUCAAUCAUCUAUGGAUGAAUUGAAUGGCUUACAAGUCACACGAUCACACAAGACUAAAACCCUUAUUCUCUCUCAAUAUUUCGCUCUGUAUUUCUUGUGUAUCAAAUCAGGUUUCCAUGUCCUUUUUAUAGAAGCAUUCAGCUGGGCUUGGACAUCAUAAAACCCUAAAACUAUUUUCCAUUCAAAUCUUCUUAUGACAGUUGGUUAGAUCUCGUUGGAAAAUAAGGUAAAUCACGUUGUAAUCAUUGAUUGAUUGCAUUUGCAAUUAACUUAUCAAUCAAACAUAGAUUGCCAUUAAAAGCGCAAUCACAUAACACAUAACAUUCAGACUGAAUGUUCUGUGUACAAAUGUCAUGACAUCGGGUCUGACAUCCUGGAACAAUUCUGCAUAAUUCCAUUUUAAAUAUCCAGCAGGUACAUUAUAUCAGAUGUCAUGACAUCGUGUAUGACAUCCUGAAACAAUCCUGCAUAAUUAUAUUUUUAAACCACCAGCAGGUACAAGAUAUCUUAUGUUAAGACAUCACAUGCAACAUCUUGUGAACAAAGAUGUCAUGACAUCGUGUAUGACAUCCUGAAACAAUCCUGCAUAAUUAUAUUUUUAAACCACCAGCAGGUACAAGAUAUCUUAUGUUAAGACAUCACAUGCAACAUCUUGUGAACACUCUUUGUUUGACCAAAAUUGCUGCUAACACUUAGAACCAACAUUAAGCAAUGUUUGGCAACGUUGUUAAACUUUUUUUUGUCUGUUUUUACAAUGUUGUUAAGUGUAUUUUUUAUUAAUGUUUGGCAAUGUUGUUAAGGUGUAUUUUUAUUUCUGUGUUUUAGCACCAAAUUGAUGAUGAAGAGUAGAAAAAUCUAUUCUUUUUUCAAGAGAAAAGAAAGAUAUGAAGAAAAUAUAACUUCUAUGUGUGAACCGCAAAGAUUUCUUGACAACCCAAGAAAUGAAGAAAAUGUAAAUAGAAAUUUUGCGGAUGCCAUUAGAAAUUCUUUAGAACGUGAUCUUGUCCUUCAAUAUGGGAAUAUCCAUUAAAUCAAAUGGAUGAAAUACGAAGAAUUUGUUUUAAAUAGGGUCCAUAUCAAAUUCAUUUAGAACAAUAUCAAUUGUCCAGUAAUGAAAGACCAUCAAAGACAGUUUCUACAUGUUUGGUUUAUCCUUUUUCCUUUAUGGUUAGAAUAUUCACCUUCAAAGGAUGUGACUUAUUGCUUACCAUGUUAUCUUUUUAGAAAAAAAACCAAGUGGACGUCCUAGUUCAGACGUCUUCAUUUUUUACAAGUUUUAAAGGUCGGAGGAAAGUUAGAAAUGGAAAGCAUAAACACAUAAGGAAAGAUGCUUGUUCACCACACAACAAUGCUCUGAAAGCUGGUCAAUAUUUGUUGAAUCAAGAUGGGCACAUUAGGAAUAUUAUUAAAUCUCAAAGUUCAAUUGAUAUUAUGAAGAUUCAACUAUGUCUCAAGACUUCAAUUGGCAUUGUUCGUUGGUUAACUUUUCAAGUUUGUACUUUUAAAGAUCGUAAUGAAAGUAAAGAAUCAUUAAACCAAGCCAAUUUUCUUGAAUUGAUUAAACUCUUAGCAGGUUACAGUGAUGAAGUUGCAAGAGUUGUUUUAAAAAAUGCUUCAUCAAAUAACAAGUAUACUUCACAUCAAAGUCACAAAGAGAUCUGUCACAUUCUUUCACGUGGGAUGAAAAAACAUACCGUGAAAAAAUUGGUGACUCCAAAUUUUAUAUAAUUGUAGAUGAAACUCAUGAUGAAUCUAAAAAUGAGAAAAUGUCUCUUAUUUUGAGAUUUGUUUAUAAAGAUGGUUUAUUACAAGAGAGAUAUUUUGACUUUGCACAUGUUAAUGAUGUUACUUAAAGUUAUUUUUUAAUUCAGUCCACGUUUUACUAAUAAAUUCCUAUUUUAUUGCCAUGCAGUACUGACUUUUGACUAAUUCCAUUUGUAAAUGCUAUAUAAGCCUGCUUUCAAUUUCUAAUAAAAAACACAGCUUUCCUCUCAACGUUUCUAUUAUUUCUAGUUCUUACAAUUGGUAUCAGAGCUCCACAAGGGGCCUGAUAUUGUUUGGGGAGUGAGUGUGUGAGAAGGGAAACACUAAGGGAGUAAAAGCGUGUGUGUGUGUGUGAGAAGAAACACCAAAGGAUCAACAUGUCUACAUCUGAAAAGAUCGUACAACCAGUCAUUCCAAGGUUCGAUGGUCAUUAUGAUUUUUGGGUAAUGACGAUGGAGAAUUUUCUACGAAGUAAAGAGAUGUGGAACCUCGUAGAAGAAGGAGUCCCAACACCGGAAAUUGGAAAUCAACAAGUGAAGCGCAAAGAAAGAGUGUGGAAGAGGCCAAGCUUAAAGAUCUGAAGGUCAAAAUCUAUCUGUUUCAAGCUAUUGACAGAGAAAUUCUUGACAAGGGAACUUCAAAGGCAAUAUGGAGGUCCAUGCAACAGAAGUAUCAAGGAUCCAAAAAGGUGAAAAGAGCACAACUUCAAGCGUUGAGAAGAGAAUUCGAGUUAUUGACCAUGAAAGAAGGCGAGAAGGUCGAUAGCUUCUUGGGACGGACUCUCAAUGUGGUAAACAAGAUGAAAUCAAAUGGUGAAGCAAUGGAGCAAAGUACGGUGAUGAGCAAGAUACUCAGAUCUUUGACCUCUAAAUUCAAUUAUAUUGUGUGCUCAAUAGAGGAAUCAAAUGAUUUGAGUAUCUUGAGUAUUGAUGAACUGCAUGGCAGCCUCCUUGUUCAUGAGCAAAGAAUGCAGGGAUUUCAGACAGAAGAACAUGUAUUGAAAAUAACCAGUGAUGAUAGAUCAAUCAGAGGCAGAUGAGGUAGAGGUGUAUUCAGAUGAGGACGUGGUAGAGGAAGCGGAAGACUAUCUCUAAACAAAGCAAUUGUUGAGUGCUUUAAAUGUCACAAGUUGGGUCACUUUUAGUAUGAGUGCCCUGACUGGGAGAAGAAGGCCAAUUAUGCGGAGCUGGAGGAAGAAGAAGAACUCUUAUUAAUGGCGUAUGAAGAUAUGUGUCAAUCCACAUAAGAAGAAGCUUGGUUCUUAGACUCCGGCUGCAGCAAUCAUAUGAUGGGAAAUAAAAAAGGUUUUCAGAAAUGAAGGAAGGAUUUUACAUAAUUGUGAAGCUUGGAAAUGAUACAACAAUGAAUGUUAUGGAAAAAGGAAGCAUAUGUGUGCAAAUGAAUGACAUUACUCAGGUAAUAUUUGAUGUUUACUUUGUUUCUGAGCUUAAGAACAAUUUGCUAAGCUUAGGACAACUCCAAGAAAAAGGGUUGGCAAUUUUAAUUCAAAAUGGCACCUGGAAAGUAUUUCAUCCGGGUAAAGGUUUAAUUAUGCACACUAAUAUGAAGGGAAAUAGGAUGUUCUAUUUGACAGCAUCUGCAACACCAAACAAAAAUUCCACGUGUCUAUAACCUGAAACGGUGCCGGAGAAAGAAACUCAAUUGUGGCAUUGUCGCUUUGGACACCUUAACUACAAGGGGCUCAAUACACUUUCGGGCAAGAAGAUGGUCAUUGGAUUACCUUCCCUGAAGUCUCCAAAGAAGAUAUGCACUACAUGCCUAAUUGGAAAACAACAUAGAGAGUCAAUACCAAAGAAAAGCUCAUGGAGGGCCUCGAAAAAGCUUCAGCUAGUUCAUGCUGAUAUUUAUGGUCCGAUCACGCCAUCUUCAAACAGUAACAAGAGAUAUAUGUUAAGCUUUAUUGAUUACUUUACUCGUAAAUCUUGGAUUUAUUUCUUACAUGAAAAUCAGAAGCAUUUGGUAUGUUCAAAAUUUUCAAGGCAUAUGUUGAGAAAGAAGUGUGUGCACUUAUCACUUGUUUAAGGACUGAUAGAGGUGGUGAAUUUACCUCGAAUGAGUUUGAAGAAUUCUGUAAGGAUCAAGGAAUCUGUAGGCAAUUGACGGCUGCAUAUACUCCUCAAUAAAAUGGAAUCGCUGAGAGAAAAAACAGGACGAUCAUGAAUGCAGUAAGAGUUGUACUGAAUGAGAGACAAGUUCCGAGAAUAUUUUGGCCUGAAGGUGUUAGAUGGUGUGUUCACGUACAAAAUAGAAGUCCAACUUCAGCAGUAGAUCAGAGAACCCCUGAAGAAGCAUGAACUGGUCUAAGACCAAGAGUUGACUAUUUUCGGAUUUUUGGAUGCGUAGCUCAUGCUCAUGUACCAGACCAAAAGAGAAGCAAGUUAGACGACAAAAGAAAAAGGUGUGUAUUUUUGGGAGUUAGUGAUGAGUUUAAAGCUUACAAAUUAUUAGAUCCUAUUGCAAAGAAAGUCAUUAUGAACAGAGAUGUAGUGUUUGAAGAAGAAAAGAGUUGGGACUGGGGAAGAACUGAAGAAGAAUGCAAAGCUGAUGUUCUAGAUUGGGAAGAAGAAUAAAAUGAAGAAGGUAGUGAAGACCAAGGACCUGCACAAAAUGAUGAACAAAACAGUGCUGAUAUCAAUCAAGAUGCAUCCUCAAGUAGUUUAAACGAGACCGGGUCAUGGGAAAUGAAACAAAUGAUGUUGAACAAGACUUUUUAGAGAGGGCAGCAAGGAAUAGAAGAAAACCAGUUUGGAUGGAAGAUUAUGAAGAGGGAACAAAUCUUUCCGAGGAAGAAGAAAUUUUAAUGGUGAUGAUGAUGGUUGAAAAUGGAAGUGAUCCUUACCUCUUCGAAGAAGCAUUCAAGAGCAAGAAGUGGAGAGAAGCAAUGAACAUGGAGAUGAAGGCAAUAGAAAAGAACAAGAUAUGGGAGCUAACUGAUGCACCAAAAGGAGUUAAGCCUAUUGGAGUUAAAUGGAUUUUCAAAACCAAGCUCAAUGAAAUUGGGAAAGUUGAAAAGUUUAAGGCGGUAUUGGUAGCAAAAGGAUAUGCACAACGGUAUGGAGUGGAUUAUACGGAAGUAUUUGCACCAGUCGCAAGACUCGACACUAUACGGGUACUAUUAGCUUUGACAGCUCAACGUGGAUGGGAAGUAUAUCAACUUGACGUGAAAAGCACUUUUCUUCACGGUGAGCUCAAGGAGUAAGUAUUUGUACAAUAGCCUGAAGGAUUUGUUAAGAAAGGAGAAGAAGACAAAGUCUACAAGUUGAAGAAAGCAUUAUAUGGCCUUAAACAAGCACCGAGAGCUUGGUACAGCAAAAUUGAGGCAUACUUUGAAAAAGAAAAAUUUGAAAGGUGCUCCAGUGAACACACUUUGUUCACCAAGAAAAAUGAAGGUAACAUUUUGAUAGUUAGUCUUUAUGUUGAUCAUUUGAUCUUUACUCGAAAUAAUAGAAGCAUGUGUGAUGAAUUUAAAAGCUCAAUGAAGUUAGAUUUUGACAUGACUGACUUGGGAAAGAUGAGACAUUUUCUUGGAAUAGAAGUGAUACAAUACGAAGCUGGGAUAUUUAUUUAUCAAAGAAGAUAUGCUCAAGAAGUUCUAGCAAGGUUCAAUAUGGGAAGCAGCAACUCAGUAAGGAAUCCAAUUGUUCCAGGAACAAUUUUAUCAAAAGAUGAGGAUGGCACUGAAGUAGAUGCUACGAUGUUCAAACAAGUCAUUGGAAGCCUCGUGUAUCUAACGGUAACUCGACCAUAUUUGAUGUUCGGGGUGAGUUUGAUGAGCAGGUUCAUGGCAAAUCCAAAAGAAUCACAUUGGGCUGCUACAAAAAGACUCUUAAUAUAUCUAAAAGGAACCACGGAGCACGAAAUAUUCUAUAAGAAUGAAGGAAGAAAAAUAAGUCUUAUAGCUUAUUCUGACAGUAAUUACGCAGAAGAUUUAGAUGAUCGAAGAAGCACUUUUGGUUUAGUGUUUAUGAUAGGGUCUAGAGCUGUUUCAUGGGCUUCGAAAAAACAACCUGUUGUGAGCCUAUCUACCACUGAGACAGAAUAUAUUACUGCAGCACUUUGUGCUUGUCAAUGUAUUUGGCUUAGAAGAAUCUUGGAGCAACUUGGAGCUGAAGAAAAGGAAGAAACUGUGAUUUUAUGUGACAACAGUUCCAUUAUUCAAUUGUCCCAAAAUCCAGUUUUUCAUGACAGAAGUAAGCAUAUUGCAGUAAGGUUUCAUUUUCUCAGAGACUUGGUAAAUGAUGAAGUGGUGAGACUGAGUUUUUGCUGCUCUGAAGAACAAGCUGCACAUAUAAUGACAAAGCCAUUGAAGCUCGAGCAGUUUGAGAAGCUUCGAAGCAUGCUUGGAGUAAUGAAGAUCACAGAAGUAAGCUAAUCACAGAGGCAUUAGCUUAAGGGAAGGAAUGUUAGUUAAAGUUAUUUUUUAAUUCAGUCCACGUUUACUAAUAAAUCCUAGUCCUAAGGGAAGUUAGAUUCUUUAAGAAGAAGUCCUAUAUUUUAGGAUCAGUUUCUUUUAUUCCUAUUUUAUUGCCAUGCAGUACUGGCUUUUGACUAAUUCCAUUUGUAAAGGUUAUAUAAGUCUGCUUUCAAUUUCUAAUGAAAAACACAACUUUCCUCUCAAUGUUUCUAUUAUUUCUAGUUCUUACAAAUGACACUUCAUCUUUAACUCUUAAACAAAAUAUUUGUGAUAUACUUUCUAUACACAACUUUAAUAUGUCUAACAUUCGUGGUCAAGAGUAUAAUAGUGUUAGAAAUAUGAGAGAAGAAUGGAAAGUUUACAAGAAUUAUUUUUGAAAGAUUGUACUUGUGCAUAUUAUAUUUAUUGUUUUUCUCAUCGAUUACAACUUGUCUUGGUUACUGCAGUUGGAGAAGUUAAAUCAAUUCAUAAAUUAUUUGAGAACCUGACUUUUAUUAUCAAUGUUGUUUGUUCUUCUAUAAGGUGCCACAAUAAGUUACAAGCUUCCCAACUAGAUGAAAUUGAAUAUUUGUUAGACAUUGGUGUGAUUAUAACUAGUAAAGGUAAAAAAAAUUGGUACUUUUAGAUGAGCUAGGGAUAUUCGUUAUGGAUCACAUUUCUCUUAAAAGACUCAACUAAAACUCUCAUAUAGAGAAAAUAUUUUCUCUUCAGGUCUGAGUCUUCAAAAGGGACAUUGCCUCCUUAAAUAGCUACACAAACUCCAGCUUGAAAGCCCAGUAGGGUUUGGAUUUGAAAGUGUUUAAAUAUUCAAAAAAAUACAUGAGAUCAAUUUUCAAUAGCAUUGAUGGUAAAUCUUGAUAUAUCAAAACUAGAAAAAUUCUUAAUCUCUUGAUUAUAACAAAUUCAACCUUACUUAAUUUAAUUCAGAUUAAAUCGUUAUUUAAACCAAAAAAUAUGCAUAAUCAAUCAAAUACUUAUUAUGAUGAUUGAGAUCCUUAAUUGAUAUAAAUCUUGAACAAAUAAGAACACCAAAUUCAAUAUUGCUAAAAACAAAUAUAAGAUAAAUCUUUUCCAACUCCAAAUAUAUGCUAACACACUCAUAUCUCUAAUUGGACAAAAAAUGAAACAAAUCUCAAAAGCGCAAGAUAUAAUUCAAAAAAUCUUUUCAAGUGUUCUUCAUUAUUCAAGUGUUUUGAAACUUUGCAUAUUUUCAAAAACUACAAGAGUUUCAAAAGAUAAUAUGAGUAAUUAAGUGUUAUCAAUUUGAAUUGUGAUAUUGUAAAGAAAAUUCCACAAUCUAAGUUUGGAUUUGGAAAUUAAGUCAUCUACAAUUAUACUUCAAUUUCUCAAUAAUGUUUAAAGUAAUACUUGUUCAUGAUAGUGUUUGGUGAAAGGUACUUGUAAGAAAGUGAUGUAUUUUUUUGUGUAUGUGUUAGAAGUUUGUGUAAGAAAGGUCUUGGUGUGAGAAUUAUAAAAAAAAAUUAAACGUCAGUAAAAAAGUUAUCUAAGGAGAUAAUGGGAUUGAACUAUCCUUCAUUCAAAAAAGAUGAAUCAAGAUAAUCCUAAUGCUCUCUUUACUUUUCGCACUUUAAUUUUUUACACUUUAAUUUAUAAACAAGUUAAAUAAAUAUAACAUCAUUCUCAAAAAUUAAGAGUCUAAGCGGGAAAAAUCCGACAAUUCUAAUUCACCCCCUAGGUUGCAUGUAAUAAUUACAUUUCGCAUGAGAGCGAGAGUUAGGUAAAUUAUUCCUAUAUCCAGUAUAAAUGUUUGCCUCUAAAUCCUUUUAGUUGAAGGUUCUAAUAUAAACAAGCCACUUUGCAUGUUACGAUUUCUGAAAAAUUAGAAUGCAAAUAUUCAUUCAUUAUGUAAAAGUUUGGAAUACGGUUGAAGAAUGACCCUUCAUACCUACUAUUAUUGCUGAUGUUUUAGAACAACCAAAGUUUAAAAAUGCAUGACGUGAAGAUGAUAAAAAGAAAAUUCAGUAUGACAAAAAGGUGGCCUCAAUUAUGAAAGUUAUGGAGUUGGCGAAGGAAAAAGGUUGGCAAAAUGUUUGGAACAUAUUUAAAAUUAAACCAUCUAUAUUUCUUAGGUCCAUAGUAUUAGAUAUUCUUUAUUUCUGCAUACAAGUGCUAUUUUAGGGUUUAGAGUGGUUCACUAUCAUAAUUGCAAUAAUUUCUUCUCUCAAGACAUUCACCUAAAAAAAUUGGCAAAGAAAUCCAUCGUGAUGAUCUCGGACAAUAGCCCAUUCCACCAAUUUCCUAUUUAUGUGACAGUGGUCCGUGUUUAUUAUUAUCCAUCUAAUUUUUGAUUUCCUCAUCUAUAUUACCAUUAUGACUUUUUAUUCGGAUUACACUAUUAUAAAUCACCACGAAUUAUCUUAAACAUCGUACUAAAAUUAAGUUUGUAAAAUAAAUAAAUAGAGAAAAACACCUAGAGUAUCUUUAAUGAGAGAAUGAGAGAACUAAAUUUUUAUUGUUUGAGUUAUUUUGUGUGUGACCAAUUACUACAUUUUAUUUAAGUAAUAUUUAAGCAAUCUAAAUUAAUUUUAUUUGGAUUUCAAUAAACAAUUUAUAUGUAACCCAAUCAAUUUAUAUUUGGUUCCAACACUUAUCAAGAUUAAUAUUAUUCAACUAUAAAUAAUACCAUUUUUGCAUUGUUUCAUGAAAUAAUUUACACAAAAAUUUAAAUAAGGAGAAUGAUAAAUGCAUCUACUUUAAUAAUAAAAAUAUUAAUCUUUGAAAGUUAAAAGUUAAGUAUGCAUUAAGCAACCUUCGUUUAAGUGAUAAAAGUUUUUGAACUUUUUUUAAUUCUCCCCACAAUUAGAAUAAAAAAAAUCUAAUGACAUAAGACAAAAUGGUUUUCCUAAUCUAAGGACAUUCUCAACUUUUCUCUUUUUCACUCCAAUUAAGCAAUGGAAGAGAGAAAUUAAAAUAUAUAAAAAAAAUGACACGCAUGGUUUCUUAUGUCCUUGUACUAAAUAUUUGAAAGCCACAAAACCCAAUAUUUGAGAUUUUACAGAAAUGGAAACAAAGAAACCAUAUAUUUAUUGAUGGAUUGCAACCACUUACUUUCAUUUUAAUUUAGGUAUAAUAGCCAUUCAAAGUGUGUUAUUAACUUAUUACAUAAGUAUAUGCGGUUAUUAAAAUACUUUGCAAUAAUUUAAAUAAGAGACUAAACUAAAUAACUUCAAAGACAAAAUCAGUAAAAACAAACACUUAACCCUGCAGUUUGGCUAAAACCAAACUGCAUAUAUGGGCAAGUAGUAACUUUUAUUUCAUUAAUUAUUUCCAUGCACAUAAUAUAAAACAAACCCUAAUGGAAUUUGUUUCAUCACUUGCAUGGUAUACUAACAUAGUUAGUUACAUUUUUCAUAGCAGAAAUCAGUGAUAUCAAUGCAACGACACUGUGGUGGAAGAGACCUUGUGCAAAUGCAAGUUUUGCAAGCUGAGUGACAUGUUUCUCCAAUAUCAUUACAACGACACCGAGGAGGGAUUGAUCUUGUGCAAAGGCAGGAAUCACAGCAUGCUUUGUUACUUGCACCACCAUUGGAGAGAAGUUGAGUGAUGAAGGAAUUUGAAUCGAAACGAGCAUCAACAACAGUUGCGGUGAAGCCCAAGAGAAAAAGCACCAAAGCUAAUUUCAUCAUUGCCUUCUUGUUCAUCAACACCAUUAUUACUAUUCUCUUUCUCUUGCUUUCUAUUUUUCUAUUUUGAUUCGUGUUUUUGGUGUAUCUUUCUUUGCAACUACAUAGGUCUAUUUAUAUAGAGGUUUUUUUUUCUUUUCAUUAUUUCAUGUUUUUUUC